rnacentral:rRNA from 1 species
GACAGAGGCCUCGAGCGUUAGGCGGAAUCACUGGGCUUAAAGCGUGUGUAGGCGGACUUCUAAGUACCUUGUGAAAUCCCACGGCUCAACCGUGGAACUGCUUGGUAUACUGGUUGUCUUGAGCCACUUAGGGGCUACCGGAACAAAUGGUGGAGCGGUGAAAUGCGUAGAUAUCAUUUGGAACGCCAAUGGUGAAAACAGGUAGCUGGGAGUGUGCUGACGCUGAGACACGAAAGCCAGGGGAGCGAACGGG